rnacentral:rRNA from 1 species
AUUGAACGCUGGCGGCAUGCUUUACACAUGCAAGUCGAACGGUAACAGGGUGCUUGCACCGCUGACGAGUGGCGAACGGGUGAGUAAUGCAUCGGAAUGUACCGGGUAAUGGGGGAUAGCUCGGCGAAAGCCGGAUUAAUACCGCAUACGCCCUGAGGGGGAAAGUGGGGGACCGAAAGGCCUCACGUUAUCCGAGCAGCCGAUGUCUGAUUAGCUAGUUGGUGAGGUAAAGGCUCACCAAGGCGUCGAUCAGUAGCGGGUCUGAGAGGAUGAUCCGCCACACUGGGACUGAGACACGGCCCAGACUCCUACGGGAGGCAGCAGUGGGGAAUUUUGGACAAUGGGCGCAAGCCUGAUCCAGCCAUGCCGCGUGUCUGAAGAAGGCCUUCGGGUUGUAAAGGACUUUUGUCCGGGAGCAAAUCCUAGUGGUUAAUAACCGCUGGGUCUGAGAGUACCGGAAGAAUAAGCACCGGCUAACUACGUG